AUUGAACGCUGGCGGCAUGCCUUACACAUGCAAGUCGAACGGUAACAGGUCUUCGGAUGCUGACGAGUGGCGAACGGGUGAGUGAUACAUCGGAACGUGCCCGAUCGUGGGGGAUAACGAAGCGAAAGCUUUGCUAAUACCGCAUAGGAUCUACGGAUGAAAGCAGGGGACCGCAAGGCCUUGCGCGAACGGAGCGGCCGAUGGCAGAUUAGGUAGUUGGUGGGAUAAAAGCUUACCAAGCCGACGAUCUGUAGCUGGUCUGAGAGGACGACCAGCCACACUGGGACUGAGACACGGCCCAGACUCCUACGGGAGGCAGCAGUGGGGAAUUUUGGACAAUGGGCGAAAGCCUGAUCCAGCCAUGCCGCGUGCAGGAUGAAGGCCUUCGGGUUGUAAACUGCUUUUGUACGGAACGAAAAGACUCUGGUUAAUACCUGGGGUCCAUGACGGUACCGUAAGAAUAAGCACCGGCUAACUACGUG
rnacentral:rRNA from 1 species